UACGUAGGGUGCAAGCGUUAAUCGGAAUUACUGGGCGUAAAGGGUGCGCAGGCGGUUCUGUAAGUCAGAUGUGAAAUCCCCGGGCUUAACCUGGGAAUUGCGUUUGAAACUGUAGAACUAGAGUGCGGCAGAGGGAGGUGGAAUUCCAUGUGUAGCAGUGAAAUGCGUAGAGAUAUGGAAGAACAUCGAUGGCGAAGGCAACCUCCUGGGCUAGCACUGACGCUCAUGCACGAAAGCGUGGGGAGCAAACAGG
rnacentral:rRNA from 1 species